rnacentral:rRNA from 1 species
AGAGUUUGAUCAUGGCUCAGAUUGAACGCUGGCGGCAGGCCUAACACAUGCAAGUCGAGCGGUAGCACAGAGAGCUUGCUCUCGGGUGACGAGCGGCGGACGGGUGAGUAAUGUCUGGGAAACUGCCUGAUGGAGGGGGAUAACUACUGGAAACGGUAGCUAAUACCGCAUAANGUCGCAAGACCAAAGUGGGGGACCUUCGGGCCUCAUGCCAUCAGAUGUGCCCAGAUGGGAUUAGCUAGUAGGUGGGGUAACGGCUCACCUAGGCGACGAUCCCUAGCUGGUCUGAGAGGAUGACCAGCCACACUGGAACUGAGACACGGUCCAGACUCCUACGGGAGGCAGCAGUGGGGAAUAUUGCACAAUGGGCGCAAGCCUGAUGCAGCCAUGCCGCGUGUGUGAAGAAGGCCUUCGGGUUGUAAAGCACUUUCAGCGGGGAGGAAGGCGUUAAGGUUAAUAACCUUGGCGAUUGACGUUACCCGCAGAAGAAGCACCGGCUAACUCCGUGCCAGCAGCCGCGGUAAUACGGAGGGUGCAAGCGUUAAUCGGAAUUACUGGGCGUAAAGCGCACGCAGGCGGUCUGUCAAGUCGGAUGUGAAAUCCCCGGGCUCAACCUGGGAACUGCAUUCGAAACUGGCAGGCUAGAGUCUUGUAGAGGGGGGUAGAAUUCCAGGUGUAGCGGUGAAAUGCGUAGAGAUCUGGAGGAAUACCGGUGGCGAAGGCGGCCCCCUGGACAAAGACUGACGCUCAGGUGCGAAAGCGUGGGGAGCAAACAGGAUUAGAUACCCUGGUAGUCCACGCCGUAAACGAUGUCGAUUUGGAGGUUGUGCCCUUGAGGCGUGGCUUCCGGAGCUAACGCGUUAAAUCGACCGCCUGGGGAGUACGGCCGCAAGGUUAAAACUCAAAUGAAUUGACGGGGGCCCGCACAAGCGGUGGAGCAUGUGGUUUAAUUCGAUGCAACGCGAAGAACCUUACCUGGUCUUGACAUCCACAGAACUUUCCAGAGAUGGAUUGGUGCCUUCGGGAACUGUGAGACAGGUGCUGCAUGGCUGUCGUCAGCUCGUGUUGUGAAAUGUUGGGUUAAGUCCCGCAACGAGCGCAACCCUUAUCCUUUGUUGCCAGCGGUUNGGCCGGGAACUCAAAGGAGACUGCCAGUGAUAAACUGGAGGAAGGUGGGGAUGACGUCAAGUCAUCAUGGCCCUUACGACCAGGGCUACACACGUGCUACAAUGGCAUAUACAAAGAGAAGCGACCUCGCGAGAGCAAGCGGACCUCAUAAAGUAUGUCGUAGUCCGGAUUGGAGUCUGCAACUCGACUCCAUGAAGUCGGAAUCGCUAGUAAUCGUAGAUCAGAAUGCUACGGUGAAUACGUUCCCGGGCCUUGUACACACCGCCCGUCACACCAUGGGAGUGGGUUGCAAAAGAAGUAGGUAGCUUAACCUUCGGGAGGGCGCUUACCACUUUGUGAUUCAUGACUGGGGUGAAGUCGUAACAAGGUAACCGUAGGGGAACCUGCGGUUGGAUCACCU